UUGUGGGUUUUCUACCCUUUCCGCAGAUGAGCCCUUAUUACUCUUGUAAAGGUACUAACUUCAACGCUUUUUAGCUUAUAUUGUGCUUGAUCAUUAUUUAAAAAUGUUUGGCAUCUGCAAUUGCAUAUCAUUUUCAAGGUAACAAUAAGCAGGGAAGAUAGAUAUUGAAUUAGGUUUUUUUUACUUUGUAUUGUUUCUAUGGAGUUACAAUCCUUAGGAGAACAUAUUAUCUUCUAGUCAAAAGAUUGACAAGAUUUUUAAUUCCUAAAGUUUUGUUUAUCUUACUUAUUUCCAUUACUUUGUAGAACCACAAAAGGCCAUUCAAGAGAUCGCAAGAGACUUGACCGGUUCUGUCCUCUCCGUGAAGGUACAGAUAUUAACCACUUAAAUACUAUUCUUGAACUUCUUCUUAUCUAAAGCAUGCACAUUGCCCUUGUAAAGUAUCCGUUGGUUUGAAAGUAUAAUGCAUCUUGAAGAUUUGGAACUUAGAUUUUAGAUGCCACAUUAUAAUUUCU
rnacentral:lncRNA from 1 species